rnacentral:lncRNA from 1 species
UAAAUAAGAUGUACACACACGUGUAUGUAGACAUACAUAAACCAAAUGGCUAUUAAGUAUUACAAUUAAAUAUAAUCACUCAACAUAUAAUAUGUAAGUAUAAUUGUAAGUGCUGUUUAUUCUUGUAGCACAUACUUUAUACACAUAUACAUAUUACAUAUAAUGCGUGUAUUUAUCACCUAUAAAUAUUUCAAUUAUUUGCAAGAAUUCUAUUAUAAAUUAUAAUAUAGCCAUUAUUUACAUUGUGUAUGUGUGCAUACGUGGACAUAUCAAAGUGAGGCUGGUCUUACUUGUUUUUUGGAUCUCUGGUGCUCUGACAGCUCCCAGCCUCGCACCGAACCCCAGGGCCAGCCUGGCAGGGUGGGCACUUGCCCCCCGAGCCCCUUUCUGAGCGUGCCUGUGGUGCCCUCACCCCACGUUGGCUGCAUGACACAGGCUCUCUGUGACUCAGGAGUCUGAAUGUUACUUCAUAUGGCAACAGCCAUGUUUUGUUUCUUUCUUUCUUUAUUUUUAAUAGGCACUUUGAUGGGGGGGGUUGGAGGAGGGAGAGUUUAAAUAGAGUUUGCAAGGUUAUUCCUUGCCUGAGGCUGAGCUGUGCGCAAUCGUCACGUCUAACUGGGAUUUUUCCGUUUGUCUUUGGGCUCCUGUUGCUGAGCCGGGGUGACCUUGGCAGCACUGGCUGCAGCAGCUCUCCCUUGGCUACCCCAGUUCUGCUUCCCCAACCCAUUGCUGCCAAAGUGCCACCGAGGACUCCAGCAGAAACCAGUGCUGCCCGGCCAGUAGGUCCCAUGCACCCCACACACCCCAGCAGACGAGCUGCCUGGUUACGAGGUGACAGCAUCAGAGCUCCUUCCUGGUGGGAUGGUUGGUCCUGUCUUCAUCUCAUAGGUCACAUGGGUACUUGAGAGGAGUCUUCACCUCUGCUGGUCAUCAAACCUUGGUCAAAACGCAGCGCAGCACACGGUAUGUAGCCCCACAGGGCAGCUGCACCAAAGCCCCAUUGCCAGUAAGAAACAGGGUUGUGUUGUGGUCCUGUUCUGGAUCCUGGUGGUGCCUUCAUGCCCUUCAUCACAGGUCCACCAUCUUCCUCCUGGAAUCACUCCCUGCUCAGAGCAGGGUGCUGAGGCAGGGCAGAGGGAAUGACACCCUGCUCCGUCCUCCUGGGGGGAAGCCCCCAGGGCAUCUCCUUGUUGCACAUCAGGUGCCACCACAUUGCUGGUCUCAAGUAGAGGAGAAACCCAAAUCCAAUACACUUUAGAGGUGGCCUAGAUAACCGCGAUAUUUUUCUCAUCUGGCAAGAAAAAGGGAUGUAGUGAAACAGUUAAACCCCCCUCCCUCAACCAACGAGGAGCCGCUCAGAGCCAUGGUGGGUCUCUUCCAACCUCAAUGAUUCUAUGAUUCUAUGGUUU